rnacentral:rRNA from 1 species
CCUACGGGGUGCAGCAGUGGGGAAUCUUGCGCAAUGCUCGAAAGCGUGACGCAGCGACGCCGCGUGAGUGAUGAAGGCCUUCGGGUCGUAAAGCUCUUUUGUUAGGGAAGAACAUGUCUGUAAGUAACUGUGUAUGUCUUGACGGUACCUGUUUAGACAGCCCCGGCUAACUCCGUGCCAGCAGCCGCGGUAAUACGGAGGGGGCGAGCGUUGUUCGGAGUGAUUGGGCGUAAAGAGCACGUAGGCGGUUUUUUAAGUCAAGAGUCAAAGACCAGGGCUCAACCGUAGUAGGGCAAGUGAAACUAGAAUACUAGAGUAUAAGAGAGGAAUGUAGAAUUCCAGGUGUAGCGGUGAAAUGCGUAGAGAUCAGGAGGAACACCGUUGGCGAAGGCGGCAAUCUGGCUGGUAACUGACGCUGAGGUGCGAAAGCGUGGGGAGCAAACAGGAUUAGAUACCCUUGUAGUC